ACAUGCAAGUCGAACGCGAAAGCCCUUUCGGGGCGAGUAGAGUGGCGAACGGGUGAGUAAAACGUGGGUAACCUGCCCCUCGCAGGGGGAUAACCGGAGGAAACUCCGGCUAAUAACCCCGUACGCUCCGGGGUCCGCAUGGUCUCCGGAGGAAAGGUAGCUUCGGCCAUCCGGCGAGGGAUGGGCCCGCGGCGCAUUAGCUAGUUGGUGGGGUAACGGCUCACCAAGGCGACGAUGCGUAGCUGGUCUGAGAGGAUGAUCAGCCACACUGGGACUGAGACACGGCCCAGACUCCUACGGGAGGCAGCAGUCGGGAAUCUUGCGCAAUGGGCGAAAGCCUGACGCAGCAACGCCGUGUGGGCGAUGAAGGCCUUCGGGUCGUAAAGCCCUGUUGUUGGGGACGAAGGGCGAAGGGUUAAUAGCCCCUAGCCUGACGAUGCCCUUCGAGGAAGCCCCGGCUAACUACGUGCCAGCAGCCGCGGUAAUACGUAGGGGGCGAGCGUUGUCCGGAAUUAUUGGGCGUAAAGAGCGUGUAGGCGGUUCGGUAAGUCUGCUGUGAAAACCCGGGGCUCAACCCCGGGCGUGCAGUGGAUACUGCCGGGCUAGAGGGCGGUAGAGGCGAGUGGAUUCCCGGUGUAGCGGUGAAAUGCGCAGAUAUCGGGAGGAACACCAGUAGCGAAGGCGGCUCGCUGGGCCGUUCCUGACGCUGAGACGCGAAAGCUAGGGGAGCGAACAGGAUUAGAUACCCUGGUAGUCCUAGCCGUAAACGAUGGGCACUAGGUGUGGGGGGAGUCGAAUCUCUCCGUGCCGCAGCCAACGCGUUAAGUGCCCCGCCUGGGGAGUACGGCCGCAAGGCUAAAACUCAAAGAAUUGACGGGGGCCCGCACAAGCAGCGGAGCAUGUUCUUUAAUUCGAUGCAACGCGAAGAACCUACCUGGGCUUGACAUGGCGCUGCAAGCGCACGGAAACGUGUGACCUUCGAGGGUGCACCACAGGUG
rnacentral:rRNA from 1 species